rnacentral:rRNA from 1 species
CUAAGCGUACACGGUGGAUGCCCUGGCAGUCAGAGGCGAUGAAGGGCGUGCUAAUCUGCGAUAAGCGCCGGUAAGGUGAUAUGAACCGUUAUAACCGGCGAUACCCGAAUGGGGAAACCCAGUGUGAUUCGUCACACUAUCAUUAACUGAAUCCAUAGGUUAAUGAGGCGAACCGGGGGAACUGAAACAUCUAAGUACCCCGAGGAAAAGAAAUCAACCGAGAUUCCCCCAGUAGCGGCGAGCGAACGGGGAGGAGCCCAGAGCCUGAAUCAGCAUGUGUGUUAGUGGAAGCGUCUGGAAAGGCGCGCGAUACAGGGUGACAGCCCCGUACACAAAAGCGCAUGUGCUGUGAGCUCGAUGAGUAGGGCGGGACACGUGGUAUCCUGUCUGAAUAUGGGGGGACCAUCCUCCAAGGCUAAAUACUCCUGACUGACCGAUAGUGAAGCAGUACCGUGAGGGAAAGGCGAAAAGAACCCCGGCGAGGGGAGUGAAAAAGAACCUGAAACCGUGUACGUACAAGCAGUGGGAGCCCCACCACUAAGCCAGUGGUGAACUCCACAUCCGCAUCCUUUGCUGAGGAUACGGUUAACGGAGCGAAAGCGACGUUCAACCGCAAAACAAGCAGAGGGGGCUUAGUGGUGGGGUGACUGCGUACCUUUUGUAUAAUGGGUCAGCGACUUAUAUUCUGUAGCAAGGUUAACCGAAUAGGGGAGCCGGAGGGAAACCGAGUCUUAAUUGGGCGUUAAGUUGCAGGGUAUAGACCCGAAACCCGGUGAUCUAGCCAUGGGCAGGUUGAAGGUUGGGUAACACUAACUGGAGGACCGAACCGACUAAUGUUGAAAAAUUAGCGGAUGACCUGUGGCUGGGGGUGAAAGGCCAAUCAAACCGGGAGAUAGCUGGUUCUCCCCGAAAGCUAUUUAGGUAGCGCCUCGUGAAUUCAUCUCCGGGGGUAGAGCACUGUUUCGGCUAGGGGGCCAUCCCGGCUUACCAACCCGAUGCAAACUGCGAAUACCGGAGAAUGUUAUCACGGGAGACACACGGCGGGUGCUAACGUCCGUCGUGAAGAGGGAAACAACCCAGACCGCCAGCUAAGGUCCCAAAGUCAUGGUUAAGUGGGAAACGAUGUGGGAAGGCCCAGACAGCCAGGAUGUUGGCUUAGAAGCAGCCAUCAUUUAAAGAAAGCGUAAUAGCUCACUGGUCGAGUCGGCCUGCGCGGAAGAUGUAACGGGGCUAAACCAUGCACCGAAGCUGCGGCAGCGAACGUAUCACCCAAGACAACUUUACGGAGUUGACGAUUGACGGAGCGAAGCGACGUCAAAGCGUUCAUUAAAGUCGAGUUGGCUUAGGGAUACGUUCGUUGGGUAGGGGAGCGUUCUGUAAGCCUGUGAAGGUGUGUCGUGAGGCAUGCUGGAGGUAUCAGAAGUGCGAAUGCUGACAUAAGUAACGAUAAAGCGGGUGAAAAGCCCGCUCGCCGGAAGACCAAGGGUUCCUGUCCAACGUUAAUCGGGGCAGGGUGAGUCGACCCCUAAGGCGAGGCCGAAAGGCGUAGUCGAUGGGAAACGGGUUAAUAUUCCCGUACUUGGUGUUACUGCGAAGGGGGGACGGAGAAGGCUAUGUUGGCCGGGCGACGGUUGUCCCGGUUUAAGCGUGUAGGUGUGUGUUCCAGGUAAAUCCGGUUCACUUUAACACUGAGGCGUGACGACGAGGCACUACGGUGCUGAAGCAACAAAUGCCCUGCUUCCAGGAAAAGCCUCUAAGCAUCAGGUAACAUCAAAUCGUACCCCAAACCGACACAGGUGGUCAGGUAGAGAAUACCAAGGCGCUUGAGAGAACUCGGGUGAAGGAACUAGGCAAAAUGGUGCCGUAACUUCGGGAGAAGGCACGCUGACACGUAGGUGAAGUGAUUUACUCAUGGAGCUGAAGUCAGUCGAAGAUACCAGCUGGCUGCAACUGUUUAUUAAAAACACAGCACUGUGCAAACACGAAAGUGGACGUAUACGGUGUGACGCCUGCCCGGUGCCGGAAGGUUAAUUGAUGGGGUCAGCGCAAGCGAAGCUCCUGAUCGAAGCCCCGGUAAACGGCGGCCGUAACUAUAACGGUCCUAAGGUAGCGAAAUUCCUUGUCGGGUAAGUUCCGACCUGCACGAAUGGCGUAAUGAUGGCCAGGCUGUCUCCACCCGAGACUCAGUGAAAUUGAACUCGCUGUGAAGAUGCAGUGUACCCGCGGCAAGACGGAAAGACCCCGUGAACCUUUACUAUAGCUUGACACUGAACAUUGAGCCUUGAUGUGUAGGAUAGGUGGGAGGCUUUGAAGUGUGGACGCCAGUCUGCAUGGAGCCGACCUUGAAAUACCACCCUUUAAUGUUUGAUGUUCUAACGUGGACCCGUAAUCCGGGUUGCGGACAGUGUCUGGUGGGUAGUUUGACUGGGGCGGUCUCCUCCUAAAGAGUAACGGAGGAGCACGAAGGUUGGCUAAUCCUGGUCGGACAUCAGGAGGUUAGUGCAAUGGCAUAAGCCAGCUUGACUGCGAGCGUGACGGCGCGAGCAGGUGCGAAAGCAGGUCAUAGUGAUCCGGUGGUUCUGAAUGGAAGGGCCAUCGCUCAACGGAUAAAAGGUACUCCGGGGAUAACAGGCUGAUACCGCCCAAGAGUUCAUAUCGACGGCGGUGUUUGGCACCUCGAUGUCGGCUCAUCACAUCCUGGGGCUGAAGUAGGUCCCAAGGGUAUGGCUGUUCGCCAUUUAAAGUGGUACGCGAGCUGGGUUUAGAACGUCGUGAGACAGUUCGGUCCCUAUCUGCCGUGGGCGCUGGAGAACUGAGGGGGGCUGCUCCUAGUACGAGAGGACCGGAGUGGACGCAUCACUGGUGUUCGGGUUGUCAUGCCAAUGGCACUGCCCGGUAGCUAAAUGCGGAAGAGAUAAGUGCUGAAAGCAUCUAAGCACGAAACUUGCCCCGAGAUGAGUUCUCCCUGAGACUUAGAGUCUCCUGAAGGAACGUUGAAGACGACGACGUUGAUAGGCCGGGUGUGUAAGCGCAGCGAUGCGUUGAGCUAACCGGUACUAAUGAACCGUGAGGCUUAACCUUACAACGCCGAAG